UACGGAGGGUGCAAGCGUUGUUCGGAAUUACUGGGCGUAAAGCGUGCGCAGGCGGUUGUGCAAGACAGAUGUGAAAUCCCCGGGCUUAACCUGGGAAUGGCAUUUGGGACUGCAAGGCUCGAGUGCGGCAGAGGAGACUGGAAUUCCUGGUGUAGCAGUGAAAUGCGUAGAUAUCAGGAGGAACACCGAUGGCGAAGGCAGGUCUCUGGGCUGACACUGACGCUCAUGCACGAAAGCGUGGGGAGCAAACAGG
rnacentral:rRNA from 1 species